UUGAAGUUUAAUUGUGAUAGUUCUUAGACUUUUCUUUCUCUACCCAGCUAUCCACAGACACGGAUGUCUGUGGAAGUGAGAUAUGGGACAUGGAUGUCCCGUAUCGAACGGUAGCGGAAACUACCAUUACGUAUAUGAAAAGUCUUAGAAAUAUCCAAUUGAAGCUUCUG
ncrna:unclassified sequences TwoGGAY RNA